rnacentral:ribozyme from 1 species
AAUAGCAAAUUCUUCGCAACGGGGUAGGUUCCGAAGCCUCUAAGCAGACUAAUACAGGCUCUCCUAUCCAACUCUUAUCCUGACACGUCCUUUACGUGCCGAGUGGUAACACGUGUCAUCAAAUAUCCAAGCUUGGGGGUACACGGGCCCAGUCCCAACCCCUUCGGCGGAUGAUGAUGCAUGGCAAAGCAGGAAAGG